rnacentral:rRNA from 1 species
CGGUGAUAUAAUUAAACGGCUGCAGUUCUCUGACUGUGCAAAGGUAGCCUGAUCAGUUGUCUGGUAAUUCCAGUCUGGUAUGAAUGGUUAGACGAUAGGAACGCUGUCUUUUUCUCUUUUGUUGAAAUUGACUACCAGGUGCGGAGGCCUGGAUUGGAGAGUGGUACGAGAAGACCCUAUAUUGCUUUAACUUUAGCUAUAAAAUCAUUGUUAUGGUGUGUGUUUUAGUUGGGGCAACUAUUCUUAUUAUUAAACAUUUCUCGUAAUCUAGUAAAUUUAAUUUGUGUGGACCCUAAAUUUUUGGGUAGUUAGAAAAAGUUACCUUAGGGAUAACAGCGUAAUUUCUCUUGAGAGUUCUUAUUAA